rnacentral:misc_RNA from 1 species
UCCGGUUUGUCACCGGCAGUCUCAUUAGGGUGCCCAACUGAAUGUAGCAACUAAUGACAAGGGUUGCGCUCGUUGCGGGACUUAACCCAACAUCUCACGACACGAGCUGACGACAGCCAUGCAGCACCUGAGCAGGAUGGUAUUGCUACCUCGUUGGGCUUUCACCCUUCUACUACCUGCAUGUCUAGCCUGGGUAAGGUUCUGCGCGUUGCUUCGAAUUAAACCACAUAAUCCACCGCUUGUGCGGGCUCCCGUCAAUUCCUUUGAGUUUUAGUCUUGCGACCGUACUUCCCAGGCGGGGUACUUAUCGCGUUAGCUCCGGAUCGGCAGGGGUCAACUCCCACCAAUCCUAGUACCCAUCGUUUACAGCGUGGACUAC